AUAUAGGCUCGUUGAAAAGAUUGUGAAAUUCUUAGCUUGGACCUGAGGUAGCAAAUAGGAUUUCUCUAUGGCACGCGUGGUGACGUGAGGAGUUCUUCAUCAUGGGGUGUAUGGCGUGGGGCAAUCCUAUGGACGAUAAAACGAUCAACGUAGAACGCCAUUUAAAUUAUGUUUUGUUUUAAGGGACUUUUUCCUAAAUUAUCAGUGGGACUCUGUUAUUUAACUUAA